GACGAACGCUGGCGGCGUGCUUAACACAUGCAAGUCGAACGAAGAGCGAUGGAAGCUUGCUUCUAUCAAUCUUAGUGGCGAACGGGUGAGUAACGCGUAAUCAACCUGCCCUUCAGAGGGGGACAACAGUUGGAAACGACUGCUAAUACCGCAUACGAUCUAAUCUCGGCAUCGAGGAUAGAUGAAAGGUGGCCUCUACAUGUAAGCUAUCACUGAAGGAGGGGAUUGCGUCUGAUUAGCUAGUUGGAGGGGUAACGGCCCACCAAGGCGAUGAUCAGUAGCCGGUCUGAGAGGAUGAACGGCCACAUUGGGACUGAGACACGGCCCAGACUCCUACGGGAGGCAGCAGUGGGGAAUCUUCCGCAAGAGACGAAAGUCUGACGGAGCAACGCCGCGUGAGUGAUGACGGCCUUCGGGUUGUAAAGCUCUAUUAAUCGGGACGAAAGGCCUUCUUGCGAAUAGUGAGAAGGAUUGACGGUACCGGAAUAGAAAGCCACGGCUAACUACGUG
rnacentral:rRNA from 1 species